UACAUGGGGUGCAAACGUUGCUCGGAAUCAUUGGGCGUAAAGGGCGCGUAGGCGGCGCGGUAAGUCACUUGUGAAAUCUCUGAGCUUAACUCAGAACGGCCAAGUGAUACUGCAGUGCUAGAGUGCAGAAGGGGCAAUCGGAAUUCUUGGUGUAGCGGUGAAAUGCGUAGAUAUCAAGAGGAACACCUGAGGUGAAGACGGGUUGCUGGGCUGACACUGACGCUGAGUGCGCGAAAGCCAGGGGAGCAAACGGG
rnacentral:rRNA from 1 species